rnacentral:tRNA from 1 species
ACCUACUUAACCCAGCGGUUAGAGUCUUGCUUUCAUACGGCGGGAGUCAUUGGUUCCAAUCCA